rnacentral:hammerhead_ribozyme from 1 species
AUACAGUGACGAGUCUCAAAUAGGACGAAAUGCGCGUUGUCGUGUAU